CCUUCCUUCCGGCGGCCCUGGUGGCCGGCAGGAGGAUGGUGUAGGUGGUCGUGCUCUUCUUGUACAUAUUAGGUCUAGGUUUAGUUCAUGUCUUCGGCUAUAUGCUAGUCUUUGGCUACAUGCCGGUCAUCGGCUCUAUGUCGGGAGGGAGAUGCCAGGUCUAGGGGCCCGGAUCUGGUAUUGCUUUGUCUCUCUGCUCCUUGUUGCGGCGCUCCCAUGGACGGAGCCAGAGGUGAUGAGGAGGAGAGCACCUGAAACCUCCAAUAAUAAAAAGGUUGUUGUGGUGGAGCUUGGGUUCUGGGUGCCUCUCCGCGAUCUCGUCGUCGCGGUGGCGGAAGAUGGAGAGGGGUGGUCGAAUAUGAGUUGGAGAUCACCACAUGACAGCCACGAUCUGCCGCCAUGACCUUUGGCUGAGAAGGCGGCCUUUCCAGACGCCUUUGAGAGCGUCAUCUCAACCUCCUCCAAGACGGAGGCCCUCUGUGGGAUUCCCAGCGGCGCGCAGCGGCCUUCCUCUCCCAUGUGGUUUCGUCCCCGGCGAGAAGGAGGACGGUCGGCGGUGGAGUCCCUGUUGUUGUGGUGGAGAAGGACUUGAUUGCUUUUCGAUGUUACUUUUUAGGGUCCUUUGUGUUAAUUUCCAGGACUGUUGUGUAACUUCUAGUUCUUUCGGGAUCCUGUUUGUGUAUUGUACUCCACCGACGAUGAACGAAAGACAGCACUAGGCCCUUCUGGGCCUUUCCCCUGUUCAAAAAAAAAGAUUCGGCUAUUGUAUCGGCUGGGCUUUGUUUACACUGGCACGUGGGGUUGUGCGACCCUGCGUACGAUCCUUUUCUUUUUGGCGAGUAGUAGGCGCCGGUAGAUCGGCCAAUAUCUUUUAAAACUCUAAGCUCCCUUGACGGGGAGGCUCCUAGUUGAGCGAGGGGUGUGGCCUGCAGGGUGGAUUUUCUUUGUAAGUGUAUUCGCUGGCUCGCUGGUCUCGCUUUGUCGGUUGGCUUGUAUAUAUUCGUGGCGCUUGUGUACGCGCCCGCGUGUAGGUGGCGUUUUUCCUUUUACUGCUACGAGGGUCGUCGUCCUUCCUUUUAUCCUUUGGACUUGGCGGCGGUGGUGUGUUUGGUGAGCGGGGUGUUUGGUGGUCUUCGGCUCCGUGUUCGGUGCCUGCCUCUUUGGAGGGAGGGGGUCAGAUGCCUGCCUCUUCGCCAGGGGUGGGCGGCGGGUCUGCUGUUGCCGGUUUCUUCUUCCUCUGCAUCAAUUUCUUGCGAGGGAUGUUCUGGGGUGCGUCUGAUGGUUGGUUUGCGUUUCCGUCGUCCUUCUUCUUCUGUCGGCUUGGUGGUUUGUGAUUUCUGUAGUUCUUUUUUAGCGUUGCUGUUGUACAGGUAAAUGACUCCGGUGCGUGGGGAUACAUGGCGGUCGCUAUGCGCACUGCACAAGGGAUGCUGGUCAGUAUUAGUUUGAUGCCUCUGUUCGUGGUGCAAAGCAGUGUUGUCUUUCUAAAAAGGGCAUGUUUCAUCAGCAGCUUUGCUAAAGACAUAUGUAGACGUUGUUGAUGUGUGCAAGGAGCGUGGCCAGCCCCAGGCAUGUGCGUUGGUUGUUUGGGACCCUGCGUGGAGUGCUAUGCUUGGUGAUGUACAGAAUACAGUCAAGAAAAACUGCAAAAGUGUACAUCUACUGUUGAUUUAUGCAUAUAGCUGAUAUUAUCAGACAUAGGCCUUCUUUAUUAUCAUGAUCUAUGCAUCAUGGCUACGUGCAUCUCUCAUUUAGUUGGUUCCUUUUUGGUAGGUCUCAAUGCGAUUCAAUUCAGUAAAACAAAUGUGCUCUACGACAUUGUUUCCAUGCGACAGAACAACAUUCAAGAGGAUCGGAGCUGGACUGCUGAUAGGUAUUUAUACGAUUCUUCAGAUUAUGUUACCCUUUGAUAUGAUCCUCCAUGGAGCGAAAUUUAUCUCCAUAGGUCACAAAAAGCAGAUUUGAUUGGUUCUAAUGAGGUUGCUGCUAUGAGUGGUCUCUUCAAAGGUAAGUGUUGUGAUUUUGUGGCGGAUGUUUGCAGGACUGAAGGAGGUUUGAUGAAUCGAUUCCUUACAUUAAAAAAUGUUGACUUAUUACUAUCACGCUUUUAAUUGAUCUAUUUUAGCAUAGGAAGGUUCAUCUGUUUUUGCAAGAAAGGUUCAUUGGUUGCUCAUGGUUUUGUAUGGUUGGGCUCGCUCAAGCAAUAGGAAGCACAUUGUCUUGGUAGUGAAUCCCACAGUUGUCAGCAAUGAUUUACAACAGGCUAUCGUCGAACCCAAAAAAGUAGUGUAAGGAUGCCAGGUUGAUGAUUUUCUGCCAUAAAUAGACACUCUUCCCUCUAGACCAUCUCAGGAUUGAAUAAAUGUUCGCUAUGUUUUCUGAGGAAUAAAUGACAUCCCUAUUGCGCUUCUUCUCAUAUGUGUUUCCUUUAUUAUUACAGUAGUCUGUUAGUAUGGAAACGAUUUGUUGUUUGGUUUAUCUUAAUACUCCCUCCGUCCGGAAAUACUCGUCGGAGGAAUGGAUGUAUCUAGAUGUAUUUUAGUUCUAGAUACAUUCAUUUUUAUGCAUUUUUCCGACAAGUAUUUCUGGACGGAGGGAGUAUAAGAGAACGUGGUUGCCAAUUCUUUUAAAGAAUGGACAAUCGUGGUGCGCUUAUGAGUUGCGAUAUAUGGUAAAAUGUGUAUCCUCUGUAACAAAGUAUUAUGUGUAGUUUGCCCUUUU